rfam:Aedes aegypti strain Liverpool supercont1.937 genomic scaffold, whole genome shotgun sequence.
UAGCUUAGUUGGUAAAGCACUUGUCUAGCAUACAAGAGUCCUGGGUUAGAAUUCCAG